rnacentral:rRNA from 1 species
AGGGCGCAUGAUGGAUGCCUUGGCAUCAGCAGGCGACGAAGGACGUGAUAAGCUGCGAAAAGCUUCGGGGAGCGGCAAAUACGCUUUGAUCCGGAGAUCUCCGAAUGGGAAAACCCAGCGGGGGUAAUGCCCCGUUGACGGAGUCCGAAUAAAAUAGGGCUUCGUCGCCAACCCAGGGAAGUGAAACAUCUCAGUACCUGGAGGAAAAGAAAACAACAGUGAUUCCCUCAGUAGUGGCGAGCGAAAGGGGAACAGCCCAAACCAACGUGCUUGCACGUUGGGGUUGCGGGAUCCCGACGUGGGAUCUUCAAAGGAUAGAAGAAGCUUGUGGAAAAAAGCUCCAUAGAGGGUGACAGGCCCGUAUUCGAAAUCCGGAGAAGCCCUAGGGACAUCCCAAGUAGCACGGGACACGUGAAACCCCGUGUGAAUCCGGUGCGUCCACGCACCAAGGCUAAAUACUGCUGAUGACCGAUAGUGAACUAGUACCGCGAGGGAAAGGUGAAAAGAACCCCUGCUAGGGGAGUGAAACAGUACCUGAAAUCAUGUGCUUACAUGCUAUGGUAGUCCCGCUUCGGCGGGAUGGCCGUUUGCCUUUUGCAUAAUGAGUCCGCGAGUUAUGGUUGGCAGCAAGGUUAAUCCGCAUCUGCGGAGGAGCCGAAGCGAAAGCGAGUGCGAAAUGUGCGUUCAGUUGCCGGCCAUAGACCCGAAGCCGUGUGAGCUAUCCAUGGGCAGGUUGAAGUCUCUGUAACAGGAGAUGGAGGACCGAACUGGUGAGGGCUGAAAACCUCUCGGAUGACCUGUGGAUUGGAGCGAAAGACUUAUCAAACUCGGUGAUAGCUGGUUCUCCUCGAAAUAACUUUAGGGUUAGCCUGCACGAAUGCUCGCCGCGGAGGUAGAGCACUGAAUGGACUAGGGGCCUUACCGGGUUUCCAACGCCAAUCAAACUCCGAAUACCGCGGCAGUCACGUGUGGAGAUAGACUGUGGGGGAUAAGCUUCAUAGUCAAAAUGGAAACAGCCUAGACCGCCAGUUAAGGCCCCUAAAUCCGGUUCAGUGACUAAGGAUGUGAGAUUGCUAAAACAGCUAGGAUGUUGGCUUAGAGGCAGCCAUCAUUUAAACAGUGCGUAACAGCUGACUAGUCGAGCGAUCUUGCGCCGAAAAUGAUCGGGACUAAACCGGAUGCCGAAGCUGCGGAUUUCGCGACGCCUGCGGGCGCUGCGGAGUGGUAGAGGAGCGUUGUAUCGGCAUUGAAGCGCAAGGGUGACCGAGCGUGGAGCUUAUACAAGUGAUUAUGCGGACAUGAGUAACGAAUAGCCGGGCGAGAAUCCCGGCCGCCGAAAUCCCAAGAUUUCCUGGGGAAGGUUCGUCCGCCCAGGGUUAGUCGGCCCCUAAGUCCAGGCCAUUCAGGCGUAGGCGAUGGGAAGCAGGUUGAAUAUUCCUGCACCGCCGGUUGGCGAUUAAGACGCGAUGGAGUACUCGGAAAGUUAGAUCAGCCGUCGAUUGGAAGUGACGGUUCAAGCCCGUAGGGGUGUGGCCAGGCAAAUCCGGCCGCGCAACCUGAAAGGUGAUGAGACGUGGAGGCUUCGGCCGAAGCGGAUUGAUUGAUACUCUGCCGACAAGAAAAGCUUCUAGCGAGCCAGCAGGCGACCGUAUCGGAAACCGACACAGGUGGGAAGGUAGAAUAUACCCAGGCGCGCGAGAGAAACCUCCUUAAGGAACUCGGCAAUCUAGCCCCGUAACUUCGGAAGAAGGGGUCCUCCGGACCGUUCGUGUAACAACAAAGCGGAUCGGAGGCGCAGUGAAUGGGCCCAGGCGACUGUUUAUCAAAAACACAGCACUAUGCCAACUCGAAAGAGGAUGUAUAUGGUGUGACACGUGACCAAUGCUGUAAGGUUAAGGCAAGGGGUCAGUCCGGCGCAAGCCGGAUGAAGCUCUGAACCGAAGCCCCAGUGAAUGUCGGCCGUAACUAUGACGGUCCUAAGGUAGCGAAAUUCCUUGUCGGGUAAGUUCCGACGUGCAUGAAUAGCGUAACGACUGGAGCUCUGUCUCAAGUGGGAACUCGGUGAAAUCGUAGUGGUGGUGAAAAUACCACCUUGCCGCGGCAAGACGGAAAGACCCCGUGAACCUUUACUGUAACUUGGCAUUGGCUCUUGGAUAAGUCUGUGUAGGAUAGGUGGGAGGCGUUGAGACCCGGACGCUAGUCCGGGUGGAGCCAUCCUUGAAAUACCACCCUGAUUUGUUUAAGAGUCUAACCGGGUCCCGUGAAUCCGGGUUCGGAACAAUGUCAGGCGGGCAGUUUGACUGGGGCGGUCUCCUCCCAAAACGUAACGGAGGAGCUCAAAGGUAGGCUUGGCACGGUUGGCAAUCGUGCUGUAAGGGCAAUGCUAUAAGCCUGCUUAACUGCGAGACCGGUGGGUCAAGCAGAUGGGAAACCAGGACAUAGUGAUCCGGCGAUUCUGUGUGGAAGGGUCGUCGCUCACCAGACAAAAGGUACUCCGGGGAUAACAGGCUGAUCGCUCCCGAGCGUCCAUAGCGGCGGAGCGGUUUGGCACCUCGAUGUCGGCUCGUCACAUCCUGGGGCUGAAGGCGGUCCCAAGGGUUCGGCUGUUCGCCGAUUAAAGUGGCACGCGAGUUGGGUUCAGACCGGCGUGAGCCAGGUCGGUCCCUAUCUGCCGUGGCCGUAGGAUACUUGAGAUGGUACUUCCUUAGUACGAGAGGAUUAGGAAGUACGAGCCUCUGGUGCACCAGUUGUCCUGCCAAGGGCACCGCUGGGUAGCUAUGCUCGGAACGGAUAAACGCUGAAAGCAUCUAAGCGUGAAGCCUUCAUCAAGACUAGGUAUCCAUGUCCCUUCGGGGACGAGAGACCCCUGGAAGACUACCAGGUUGAUAGGCGGGAGGUGUACGCACAGAAAUGUGCUUAGCUAACCCGUACUAAUGGUCGAUCACUUGACC